UACAGAGGCCCCGAGCGUUACUGAGAAUCACUGGGUUUAAAGGGUGCGUAGGUGGCGCGUUAAGUCCGUUGUGAAAUCCCUUGGCUCAACCAAGGAAAUGCUUCGGAUACUGGCGUGCUUGAGGCUAGUAGGGGUCACUGGAACUGACGGUGGAGCGGUGAAUGACGUGAGAUAUCGUCAGGAACGCCGAUGGUGAAGAACAGGUGGACUGGGCCGUGUUCUGACACUGAGGCACGAAAGCGUGGGGAGCGAACGGG
rnacentral:rRNA from 1 species